rnacentral:lncRNA from 1 species
CAUCAGAACCACCUCCUUCCUGUUUUGUCUCUUUAACUUUUUGCCUCUCUGUUUUCUUCAAGAAUUUGUGUAUUCUAACCUGAUCGAUGACAGAAAUUGUUAGAAAACUAAUUACAACCAACCAUAAUUAGGAUACUGCUUUAAAGCAACAUCAAAAACAUAAUUAGGAUACUGCCAUACAAAUCACAAAUCAUGCCCAUCUACUUACUAAAGUAACAACCAGAAUAUAGUGCAAAAAAUAAAAUAAAAUUUUGCAACACAAAAUAAACAUUGCAAAAAGACGACAUUAGCAACAUUCACUUAAAAAAUGCAGCCAAAUCUCAAUUAUUAACAUAAAUGGCAACAUUCACUUAUAAGAAUGUUGCAAUAGACACUUUUAUCAACAUUAAAUUAAUAAAUGUUGUCUUUUGCAUGUUGCAAAAAGGCAUUUUUAUUGUAGUGAUUAUACUUAGAGAUGUAGUUGGGAUUUUCAUUUAAUAAUGGCUGUGGGUCGCCGUUUAAGUGGACCAGACAUGUAUUCUAUGGAAUGGAUUGAAAAAGAGUGGUUUGAUUUACUCUACAAAGGGAGUGAUUUGAAUUUUAAAUUGAAAGCUCAGCUCUCAACAUCAUAUAACCUCUCACCAUUUUUUUAAAACUAUUCUAAACGGCCAUGGCCCCGGAGGGGGGGGGGGGGGUCAAAAGAAAAAAAACUUACUUUGUUUCCUUCCGUACAGUUAUACAAGUGUGUAUAAAUGCAGGUCGAAUAUCAGGUGAACUGUCUGCUAACCGAUUGACUGGAGGUUGUAUAUAGGCUGUUUGAAGCAGCAAUUCACUGAGUCGGCUGCCAACCUGUGCACAUUUAGGGGGUGUUUGAUAAGUAUUUUUGUGUAAAAAUGUAUUUUAAAAUAGUAAAUUGAUGUGAAAUGUGUGGUUGAAAAAUAAGGAAAAGUUUUAGUUUUAUGUGUAAUAUUAUUUUAAUAAAGAAUGUGUGGUUGAAAAGAAGAGACAGAAAAAUGUAUUUUAAAGAAAAUAACUACCAAAGGGGCUCUUAGUUUGUAAGAAAACUGUAAACUUAAUGCAAUGAGUACAAGAGUUAGGUCAGACCUUUGCUUUAGCAUCAGUGCCCCAUGGUUUUGAAUCAUCCUGUCCUUUAACUAGUUGCCCCACUGCUCGCAACUUUUAUUUUUUCAUCAAAUUAUUAACAGCCUUUUACAAAUUUUCUUGUUCUUGGUCAUUGCCAUCAGAACCACCUCCUUCCUGUUUUGUCUCUUUAACUUUUUGCCUCUCUGUUUUCUUCAAGAAUUUGUGUACUCUAACCUGAUCGAUGACAGAAAUUGUUAGAAAACUAAUUACAACCAACCAUAAUUAGGAUACUGCUUUAAAGCAACAUCAAAAACAUAAUUAGGAUACUGCCAUACAAAUCAAAAAUCAUGCCCAUCUACUUACUAAAGUAACAACCAGAAUAUAGUGCAAAAAAUAAAAUAAAAUUUGCAACACUAAAUAAACGUUGCAAAAAGACGACAUUAGCAACAUUCACUUAAAA